UAUUAGUGACAUUUGUUUUUUAUUUUCUAUAACUAGCUAGCUUGAUAUGUUGUUUGAUGAUUAUGUAUCUAGUUUAAUUAAUUAUGUAAUUGAUUUUUAUUUGUUUUUGUUUAAGCUUUUUAGUAGGGUUGUUGAUUUAGUUGCCAAUUUGGUAUUGAAUUUGGGUGACUUCAAGAGUAAUAUUGGAAAAAAAAGAACUAGGAGUGGAAGAUGUAGAGGGAUAUGAAAUUUGGAUAAGAGCGCGAGAAACGAAGAAGACUCUUGUCGAAGAUAAUUUGGACAAAAAAUUGAAGAAAGAGUUAAUGAACUAAAUGACAAAGUUACUAGUAGUCAAAUUGUCACCAAGGGUCGAGAGGACAUCUUGCCAAUCCAACAAAAAUAUUUAAGCCGAUUGAUGACUUAAAUUUA